UCUCUCUCUUGCCAUCAUCGCCAUAAUCAUCAUCAUCAUCAUUAUCAUCUCUUCUUUUAGGGUUGGAGGGAGAUGAGAAGAUCUAACCUCUAGUGUGGUGUUUGCACACUUUAACAGAUGAUCCUGUUUGUACUUUUCCACAGCUUUCUUGAACUGCAUGAUCAGUAUCCUGCUAACAAGCUACCUAGCGUAACAAAGUGGGGCUAUGCAUGGCUACUGCGGUUCAAUAAAGCUGUGGGAAGAUACGGAUAGGGUCUGGACUCUCUGGAUGCUCGUUGUCUCUUGCCUUUGUUAUCAAACCCAAACACACUCAUUGCCUUAAUUGGUACCAUCAAACCCAAAACUCGGCUUAGUUUCUUCACUUCUUCAUUUGCAUGAUGAACUAGUCUCCAAGACUGGAAUUAUCUCUUUGCACUCGCUGUACUGCUAAUGAAUCCAUCAGUUCUUUGGCUGUUCAACUGAUUGGAUAUAUUUUAUAUCUUCCAAGCAUUAGAUUCCACUACUGAUCAGAUAUGGUGGACCCAUCACUCUGUAUUUCUUGGUUAUCCUUCUGUAUGGAUUGAUAAAAUAACAAUUACCCAGUAUUUUCUAUACUUGAAGAAUCCAACUCAUAAUUCCAUAACAAGCAAGAUAACCCAUUGCCAAAUAAAAACCAACAUCUGAUGUAUGAGCAGGAGAUAUGACAGACCCCCCAUCAAUCAAUCUGGGUAUCUGGGAAGCUGUGAUGCAUGAGUUGUGAGUUGAUACUGUAAAAUCUUGCAUGGAUAUUUUUGAGAAAAAGCAAUGGAGUUUAGCCUUUCUAUUGCAGAACUGUCUACCACAAAAUGGGAAUCCGGUAAAAAUGAUUGUCCUCUUCUUUCCUUGAUUUCGGGGAUCCUGGACACUUCAAUCUGUGAUCUAUGUUUUUGUGUUUUUCUUUUCUCUGUGGUGAGUUGCAAUUAUUUCUGUAUUUCUUUCUGCAAAUAAUUGUUGAAACUCCAUAUAAGAAGCUGUAAGCUCUAACUACAAUAAGAUGCAUCCAAUUAUUGCUGUCUGAGUUCUCAACUUCUCAUGGACCUAAAUGGAUGCCUGUAAAGCACCAUCUAUAUCAGUCAGUCGACAAACUAACAACCUUCAGAGUCAUUUCCAGGAACCUGACUGCAUAUGAUCCACAGACAAACUGGCUAAUGGGGAUGAACUGAUCCAAUUAUUGCUCUAUUAUAUGGACCACACUGCUUGUUAUAUAGUUACUUGAAUGUUUUGCCUUUUGUCAUUUGGGGUUCCACCAAAAUUUGGUUUCCACAAGCUUUUGUACAGGUCGCUAAAAUGAAGGCUACAAAAGUUAGGUGAAGCCUUUAUCAGAAGAAGCAAAUAUCUAUACAAGUGAAUAACAAAAUAUGCACCACUGUUAUUUUAUCCUUCAGAAGGCAUAACCACAUGGAAAGUGGAAACCUUAUUGCAGAGAAAAAGCUUUAGAGAGUGAAGCUAACCUUUCUUGAUCCACCCAGGGAAAAAAAAAAAAAAGAAAUAAAGACCCAUCACUUACCCCACUCAAGUCUCUGUAGGGACAACGACAGAUGAGUUGUGUAAGGCCGAGGAUAAAGCGCAGGAGACAUAGGUUUGGUCUAGUCGAAGAGUAAGUUCUCUGCAUCAGAUCCUAGUUGUUCAUCCUUUCUCCUUGGAUGGUUGUAGUAGUAACUGUAUUUAUGACAAAGCAGUUUAAAUGACCCAAAUUAAGAACCAGACCAACAUGUACUGAGAAGGAGAGAGUUGACAAAAUCAUUUAUAGGAGUAGAUGACUCCUGUACAAGUCCACAUAAGUUACAGCUUUACAUGCGCAAACUUACUACUUCUCCCAAAGGAAUGAAUCAAUGUUCUUGUGGGAUAUCUGGUUGUGAGCAUCUUAAUUGCCAACAACUUUGGGUAUCUGGCUGUCCAACCAGCAGUCGUAUCUCUUCACUCAACAUCCUACCCAUUGUCACGUCGUGUUCGGCCAGAAAACUAAAUGGGUUAUACAAUUUUGUGUUUAAUGUUAUGACUGGAAAGAUAUUAGUCGGAUCACGGAUGCUUCUUCUUCUUCUUCUUCCUCUUCUUCAUACCAAGUUCUAUUAUUUACUGGGCAGAUUCCAUACUUGUAAUUUAAGUCGCUGUUCAAGGCAGAAAAGCAAUAUUCUAUCUA